rnacentral:tRNA from 1 species
GCCGGAGUGGCGGAAUAGGCAGACGCACGGGACUUAAAAUCCCGGGGGCCUCACGGCCCGUGCCGGUUCGACCCCGGCCUCCGGCA